AGUGAACGCUGGCGGUAGGCCUAACACAUGCAAGUCGAACGGCAGCACAGGAGAGCUUGCUCUCUGGGUGGCGAGUGGCGGACGGGUGAGGAAUACAUCGGAAUCUACUCUGUCGUGGGGGAUAACGUAGGGAAACUUACGCUAAUACCGCAUACGACCUACGGGUGAAAGCAGGGGACCUGCGGGCCUUGCGCGAUUGAAUGAGCCGAUGUCGGAUUAGCUAGUUGGCGGGGUAAAGGCGCACCAAGGCGACGAUCCGUAGCUGGUCUGAGAGGAUGAUCAGCCACAGUGGAACGGAGAAACGGUCCAGACGCCUACGGGAGGAGGCAAUGGGGAAUAUUGGACAAUGGGCGCGAGCCUGAUCCAGCCAUACCGCAUGGGUGAAGAAGGCCUUCGGGUUGUAAAGCCCUUUUGUUGGGAAAGAAAUCCAGCUGGCUAAUACCCGGUUGGGAUGACGGUACCCAAAGAAUAAGCACCGGCUAACUUCGUGCCAGCAGCCGCCGUAA
rnacentral:rRNA from 1 species